UGGGGAAUAUUGCACAAUGGGCGAAAGCCUGAUGCAGCGACGCCGCGUGAGGGAUGACGGCCUUCGGGUUGUAAACCUCUUUCAGCAGGGACGAAGCGCAAGUGACGGUACCUGCAGAAGAAGCACCGGCUAACUACGUGCCAGCAGCCGCGGUAAUACGUAGGGUGCAAGCGUUGUCCGGAAUUACUGGGCGUAAAGAGUUCGUAGGCGGUUUGUCGCGUCGUUUGUGAAAACCAGCAGCUCAACUGCUGGCUUGCAGGCGAUACGGGCAGACUUGAGUACUGCAGGGGAGACUGGAAUUCCUGGUGUAGCGGUGAAAUGCGCAUAUAUCUGGAGGAACACCGGUGGCGAAGGCGGGUCUCUGGGCAGUAACUGACGCUGAGGAACGAGAGCGUGGGUAGCGAACAGG
rnacentral:rRNA from 1 species